rnacentral:rRNA from 1 species
GUCCACGCCGUAAACGAUGAGUGCUAGGUGUUAGGCCCUUUCCGGGGCUUAGUGCCGCAGCUAACGCAUUAAGCACUCCGCCUGGGGAGUACGACCGCAAGGUUGAAACUCAAAGGAAUUGACGGGGGCCCGCACAAGCGGUGGAGCAUGUGGUUUAAUUCGAAGCAACGCGAAGAACCUUACCAGGUCUUGACAUCCCGAUGCUAUUCCUAGAGAUAGGAAGUUUCUUCGGAACAUCGGUGACAGGUGGUGCAUGGUUGUCGUCAGCUCGUGUCGUGAGAUGUUGGGUUAAGUCCCGCAACGAGCGCAACCCUUAUUGUUAGUUGCCAUCAUUUAGUUGGGCACUCUAGCGAGACUGCCGGUGACAAACCGGAGGAAGGUGGGGAUGACGUCAAAUCAUCAUGCCCCUUAUGACCUGGGCUACACACGUGCUACAAUGGUUGGUACAACGAGUUGCGAGUCGGUGACGGCAAGCUAAUCUCUUAAAGCCAAUCACAGUUCGGAUUGUAGGCUGCAACUCGCCUACAUGAAGUCGGAAUCGCUAGUAAUCGCGGAUCAGCACGCCGCGGUGAAUACGUUCCCGGGCCUUGUACACACCGCCCGUCACACCACGAGAGUUUGUAACACCCGAAGUCGGUGAGGUAACCUUUUAGGAGCCAGCCGCCUAAGGUGGGAUAGAUGAUUGGGGUGAAGUCGUAACAAGGUAGCCGUAUC